UACGUAGGGCGCAAGCGUUGUCCGGAAUUAUUGGGCGUAAGGAGCUCGUAGGCGGCCUGUUACGUCUGCUGUGAAAUCCCGGGGCUUAACCCCGGGCGUGCAGUGGAUACGGGCAGGCUGGAGGCAGGCAGGGGAGAACGGAAUUCCCGGUGUAGCGGUGAAAUGCGCAGAUAUCGGGAGGAACACCGGUGGCGAAGGCGGUUCUCUGGGCCUGUACUGACGCUGAGGAGCGAAAGCGUGGGGAGCGAACAGG
rnacentral:rRNA from 1 species